GCAUGCUUUAACUAUAUGUAUACUAACAUUGGAGUGAUAUAGAGAAGAUUAGAAUGGUACCUGUGCAAAGAUGAUAAUGCAAAUCCAUGAACUCUCUAUAUUGUU